CACGUAGGGGGCGAGCGUUGUCCGGAUUCAUUGGGCGUAAAGCGCGCGCAGGCGGCUCGGAAAGUCGGGUGUGAAAACUCGGGGCUCAACCCCGGGCGUGCAUCCGAUACUGCCGGGCUUGAGGCAGGUAGGGGAGAUCGGAAUUCCUGGUGUAGCGGUGAAAUGCGCAGAUAUCAGGAGGAACACCGGUGGCGAAGGCGGAUCUCUGGGCCUGUCCUGACGCUGAGGCACGAAGGUCAGGGGAGCAAACGGG
rnacentral:rRNA from 1 species